rnacentral:rRNA from 1 species
AGUGAACGCUGGCGGUAGGCCUAACACAUGCAAGUCGAACGGUAGCACAGUAAGAGCUUGCUCUUACGGGUGGCGAGUGGCGGACGGGUGAGGAAUACAUCGGAAUCUACUUUUUCGUGGGGGAUAACGUAGGGAAACUUACGCUAAUACCGCAUACGACCUACGGGUGAAAGCAGGGGAUCUUCGGACCUUGCGCGAUUGAAUGAGCCGAUGUCGGAUUAGCUAGUUGGCGGGGUAAAGGCCCACCAAGGCGACGAUCCGUAGCUGGUCUGAGAGGAUGAUCAGCCACACCGGAACUGAGACACGGUCCAGACUCCUACGGGAGGCAGCAGUGGGGAAUAUUGGACAAUGGGCGCAAGCCUGAUCCAGCCAUACCGCGUGGGUGAAGAAGGCCUUCGGGUUGUAAAGCCCUUUUGUUGGGAAAGAAAAGCAGCAGGUUAAUACCCCGCUGUUCUGACGGUACCCAAAGAAUAAGCACCGGCUAACUUCGUG